ACACCCACGAGCUCUCUGCAGCCAAUUUACUUGGCAGCAAAAAGUUCCUUCAACACAGUCUUAAAAAUUCUUUCAAAAAGUAUCCAGUCUUGUUUAGAGCCUCGUCCUGAAUUCCUUUGUGCAUGCCAAGCUCUGAGGGCCUGAUCCUGCUCUGCUGGCUCCUGUUGAGUACUUCCUGACCCUGAGAUGAGUCUGCCUGAGAGCCGUGAGACUGCCCUGGUGCUAGCUGAAGAGUAGAAUACUGCUUAGGACUUGUAUUAGUGCCAGAAGGAAAUCAAAUGCCAAGAGGCCUAUUUUAAUUGAUGACAUACAACCCUUUUAUGUUCAGUUUUCACGUUGUUUUGUUUUUUUUUGAACACUAUACCUUCAUUACAUGGAAGCACCCAGCUGUUUCCAAGUCAGUGCGUUCUAGACAUAGGCUACGUCUUCACUACCCGCCGUAUUGGCGGGUAGCAAUCGAUUGCUCGGGAUCG